rnacentral:rRNA from 1 species
AACGAACGCUGGCGGCAUGCCUAAUACAUGCAAGUCGAACGCUCGUAGCAAUACGGGAGUGGCGGACGGGUGAGUAACGCGUGGGAACCUGCCCAGUGGUAGGGAAUAACCGCGGGAAACUGCGGCUAAUACCCUAUGAGCCCUACGGGGGAAAGAUUUAUCGCCAUUGGAGGGGCCCGCGUCGGAUUAGCUAGUUGGUGGGGUAACGGCCCACCAAGGCGACGAUCCGUAGCUGGUCUGAGAGGAUGAUCAGCCACACUGGGACUGAGAUACGGCCCAGACUCCUACGGGAGGCAGCAGUAGGGAAUAUUGGACAAUGGGCGAAAGCCUGAUCCAGCAAUGCCGCGUGAGUGAAGAAGGCCUUAGGGUUGUAAAGCUCUUUCGGCGGGGAAGAUGAUGACGGUACCCGCAGAAGAAGCCCCGGCUAACUUCGUGCCAGCCGCCGCGGUAAAAC